rnacentral:rRNA from 1 species
CAUGUCCUUUUGAAGAUAAUUUAAGGUCUAAUCUGCUCAAUGAAUUUUAAAUAGCCGCAGUAUUUUGACUGUGCAAAGGUAGCAUAAUAAUUAGCUUUUUAAUUAGAAGCUGGAAUGAAUGAUUGGACAAGAAAAUUACUGUCUCUUUUCUAAUAUUUUUGAAUUUUAUUUUUAAGUGAAAAAGCUUAAAUUUUUAUAAAAGACGAGAAGACCCUAUAGAGUUUAAUAUUUUUGCCUAAUAAUUAUUAGAAACAUUUUUUAGUUAAAUUUAUUUGGUUGGGGUGAUUUAAAGAUUAAAAAAAUUCUUUAUAAGUUGAAUUGAUGAUUUUCAAAUUAUGAAUCUAUAGUUUAUAAGAUUAAAAUAAAUUACCUUAGGGAUAACAGCGUAAUUUUUCUUAAAAGUUCAUAUUAAAAGAAAAGUUUGCGACCUCGAUGUUGGAUUAAAAUUAAUUUUUGGUGCAAUAACUUAAAAAUUGGGUCUGUUCGACCUUUAAAAUUUUACAUGAUCUGAGUUUAAACCGGUGUAAACCAGGUUGGAUUCUAUCUUUAGAAAAAUUAUAUAUUUUAGUACGAAAGGACCAAAUAUAUGUUAAAUUAAUUG